CUGCAAGCGUCUGGCAUGCUUGCAUCUGAAGUGACCCUGUGCACUCCUAUAAGAGCUUGUGAUACAAUCAUGAAACAGUUUGAGGUCUUUUCCUGCUACAUCCAAAGCAAGGUUAUGGAAAUUCCAGAUAAUU